GUUUGACUCCGUGGCUCGAGGACGAACGCUGGCGGCACGCUUAACACAUGCAAGUCGAACGGAGUUAUGGAGAGCUUGCUUGAAAUAACUUAGUGGCGGACGGGUGAGUAACACGUGAGCAACCUGCCUUUGAGAGUGGAAUAGCUUCUGGAAACGGAUGGUAAUACCGCAUGACAUUAUCUGACCGCAUGAUCGUAUAACCAAAGAUUUAUCGCUCAAAGAUGGGCUCGCGUCUGAUUAGGCAGUUGGCGGGGUAACGGCCCACCAAACCGACGAUCAGUAGCCGGACUGAGAGGUUGAACGGCCACAUUGGGACUGAGACACGGCCCAGACUCCUACGGGAGGCAGCAGUGGGGAAUAUUGCACAAUGGGCGGAAGCCUGAUGCAGCGAUGCCGCGUGGAGGAAGAAGGUUUUCGGAUUGUAAACUCCUGAUCUGAGGGACGAUAAUGACGGUACCUCAGGAGAAAGCUCCGGCUAACUACGUGCC
rnacentral:rRNA from 1 species